rnacentral:rRNA from 1 species
GACGAACCGAGCGAACGUUGUUCGGAAUCACUGGGCUUAAAGGGCGCGUAGGCGGGUGCUCAAGUCCGUGGUGAAAUCCUCCGGCUCAACCGGAGAACUGCCUCGGAUACUGGGCGUCUCGAGUGUGGUAGGGGUAUGCGGAACUAUCGGUGGAGCGGUGAAAUGCGUUGAUAUCGAUAGGAACUCCGGUGGCGAAGGCGGCAUACUGGACCACCACUGACACUGAUGCGCGAAAGCCAGGGAGCAAACGGG